ACACUCCUACGGGAGGCAGCAGUGGGGAAUAUUGGACAAUGGGCGCAAGCCUGAUCCAGCCAUGCCGCGUGAGUGAUGAAGGCCCUAGGGUUGUAAAGCUCUUUCACCGGUGAAGAUAAUGACGGUAACCGGAGAAGAAGCCCCGGCUAACUUCGUGCCAGCAGCCGCGGUAAUACGAAGGGGGCUAGCGUUGUUCGGAUUUACUGGGCGUAAAGCGCACGUAGGCGGACUAUUAAGUCAGGGGUGAAAUCCCGGGGCUCAACCCCGGAACUGCCUUUGAUACUGGUAGUCUUGAGUUCGAGAGAGGUGAGUGGAAUUCCGAGUGUAGAGGUGAAAUUCGUAGAUAUUCGGAGGAACACCAGUGGCGAAGGCGGCUCACUGGCUCGAUACUGACGCUGAGGUGCGAAAGCGUGGGGAGCAAAUAGGAUUAGAUACCCUUGUAGUCCCA
rnacentral:rRNA from 1 species